AGCAGCCGCGGUAAUUCCAGCUCCAAUAGCGUAUAUUAAAGUUGUUGCAGUUAAAAAGCUCGUAGUUGAAUUUCGGGAUCAAUAUAUCGGUCGUGCCUUCGGUACGUACUGGUAUCAUUGGUUUCUCCUUUCUGACGAACCAUGAUGUCAUUAAUUUGGUGUUAUGGGGAGUUAGGACUGUUACUUUGAAAAAAUUAGAGUGUUAAAGCAGGCUUUAGCUUGAAUACAUUAGCAUGGAAUAAUGAAAUAGGACGUUCGAACCUAUUUUGUUGGUUUCUAGGAUCAACGUAAUGAUUAAUAGGGAUAGUUGGGGGCAUUAGUAUUCAAUUGUCAGAGGUGAAAUUCUUGGAUUUAUUGAAGACUAACUACUGCGAAAGCAUUUGCCAAGGAUGUUUUCAUUAAUCAAGAACGAAAGUUAGGGGAUCGAAGACGAUCAGAUACCGUCGUAGUCUUAACCAUAAACUAUGCCGACUAGGGAUCGGAUGAUGUUAAUUUUUUAAUGACUCAUUCGGCGCCUUAC
rnacentral:misc_RNA from 1 species